rnacentral:rRNA from 1 species
GACGAACGCUGGCGGCGUGCUUAACACAUGCAAGUCGAACGGAAAGGCCCUGCUUUUGUGGGGUGCUCGAGUGGCGAACGGGUGAGUAACACGUGAGUAACCUGCCCUUGACUUUGGGAUAACUUCAGGAAACUGGGGCUAAUACCGGAUAGGAGCUCAUGCUGCAUGGUGGGGGUUGGAAAGUUUCGGCGGUUGGGGAUGGACUCGCGGCUUAUCAGCUUGUUGGUUGGGUAGUGGCUUACCAAGGCUUUGACGGGUAGCCGGCCUGGGAGGGUGACCGGCCACAUUGGGACUGAGGUACGGCCCAGACUCCUACGGGAGGCAGCAGUGGGGAAUAUUGCACAAUGGGCGGAAGCCUGAUGCAGCAACGCCGCGUGCGGGAUGACGGCCUUCGGGUUGUAAACCGCUUUCGCCUGUGACGAAGCGUGAGUGACGGUAAUGGGUAAAGAAGCACCGGCUAACUACGUG